rnacentral:rRNA from 1 species
UUCGCAAUGCCCGAAAGGGUGACGAAGCGACGCCGCGUGAGCGAAGAAGGCCCUAGGGUUGUAAAGCUCUGUCAGGGGUUAAGAAAUGCAGGCAGGUUAAUACCCUGUUUGUUUGACAAAGGCCCCAAAGGAAGCCACGGCUAACUCUGUGCCAGCAGCCGCGGUAAUACAGAGGUGGCGAGCGUUGUUCGGUAUUAUUGGGCGUAAAGAGCACGUAGGUGGUUUUGUAAGUCAGAUGUGAAAGCCUUCUGUUCAAAGGAAGAACGGCAUCUGAAACUGCUGAUCUUGAGUGUAGGAGGGGAGAGUGGAACUUCUGGUGGAGCGGUGAAAUGCGUAGAUAUCAGAAGGAACGUCGGCGGCGAAAGCGAUUCUCUGGCCUAUUACUGACACUGAGUGUGCGAAAGUUAGGGGAGCAAACGGGAUUAGAUACCCCGGUAGUCCUAACCGUAAACGAUGGGCACUAAGUAGAGGGGUUUU